rnacentral:rRNA from 1 species
UACGUAGGCAGCAAGCGUUGUUCGGAGUUACUGGGCGUAAAGAGUGCGUAGGUGGUGCCCUAAGUCUGUUGUGAAAUCUCCCGGCUUAACCGGGAGGGUGCGGUGGAAACUGGGGUGCUUGAGUGUGGGAGAGGUAAGCGGAAUUCCUGGUGUAGCGGUGAGAUGCGUAGAUAUCAGGAGGAACACCGGUGGUGUAGACGGCUUACUGGACCACGACUGACACUGAGGCACGAAAGCGUGGGUAGCAAACAGG